rnacentral:lncRNA from 1 species
ACUUCUUUAAUUACAUGUAUAUAAUCCUUACAAACUUAGGAUUUGUAUGUAUAUAUGCAGACACCAAAUGAGAGAGCUCAGAAUGAGAAAUGACAAUAGUAUUGGGUUCGUUCGUUGACCCUUAUAUUGUUUUCAAGGCUCCGCACGCAAUCUUAUGAGGUUCUUUGUGAACCAAAAAGAAAAACAAAAAAUACUCUUUCCCUUCAACUUCGAGUGAGUUAUAUAGUUAUUAAGUGCAUGCAUAUUUUGUUUUAAUAAUUAUUACUCAAGACAAGUUUUAUAUAGUUAUAUAUAGGCC